UUACGGCCAUAUCACGUUGAAAUACCGGUUUCCGUACAAUCACGGAAAUUAAGAAACGUCGAGCAUACACGGUACCUUGAUGAGUGACCGCUUGGGAAUACCAGUUGCCGUAA